rnacentral:rRNA from 1 species
CCUACGGGUGGCUGCAGUGGGGAAUCUUGCACAAUGGGGGAAACCCUGAUGCAGCGACGCCGCGUGAGCGAUGAAGCCCUUCGGGGUGUAAAGCUCUUUCGGCAGGAACGAUAAUGACGGUACCUGCAGAAGAAGCUGCGGCUAACUACGUGCCAGCAGCCGCGGUCAUACGUAGGCAGCAAGCGUUGUUCGGAAUUACUGGGCGUAAAGAGUGUGUAGGUGGUGUCGUAAGUUUGGUGUGAAAUCUCCCGGCUGAACUGGGAGGGUGCGCCGAAGACUGCGAUGCUCGAGUAUGGGAGAGGAAAGCGGAAUUCCUGGUGUAGCGGUGAAAUGCGUAGAUAUCAGGAGGAACACCUGCGGUGUAGACGGCUUUCUGGACCAUUACUGACACUGAGACACGAAAGCGUGGGUAGCAAACAGGAUUAGAUACCCCAGUAGUC